UACGUAGGGUGCAAGCGUUAAUCGGAAUUACUGGGCGUAAAGCGUGCGCAGGCGGUGAUGUAAGACAGAUGUGAAAUCCCCGGGCUCAACCUGGGAACUGCAUUGUGACUGCAUCGCUGGAGUGCGGCAGAGGGGGAUGGAAUUCCGCGUGUAGCAGUGAAAUGCGUAGAUAUGCGGAGGAACACCGAUGGCGAAGGCAAUCCCCUGGGCCUGACACUGACGCUCAUGCACGAAAGCGUGGGGAGCAAACAGG
rnacentral:rRNA from 1 species